rnacentral:rRNA from 1 species
AUACAGAGGGUGCGAGCGUUAAUGGGAAUUACUGGGCGUAAAGCGCGCGUAGGCGGCUUAUUAAGUCAGAUGUGAAAUCCCCGGGCUCAACCUGGGAACUGCAUCUGAUACUGGUAAGCUAGAGUUUUGAAGAGGGAAGUAGAAUUUCAGGUGUAGCGGUGAAAUGCAUAGAGAUCUGAAGGAAUACCAGUGGCGAAGGCGACUUCCUGGCCAAAAACUGACGCUGAGGUGCGAAAGCGUGGGUAGCAAACGGGAUUAGAAACCCCGGUAGUCC